rnacentral:rRNA from 1 species
UGGCGGCAGUAGCGCGGUGGUCCCACCUGACCCCAUGCCGAACUCAGAAGUGAAACGUGAUCCGGUGGUUCUGAAUGGAAGGGCCAUCGCUCAACGGAUAAAAGGUACUCCGGGGAUAACAGGCUGAUACCGCCCA